GGGCUCUUAGCCUGGAAGGGGAGGACUGGACGGGGCGGGGCUCCCAGCCAGUAAUGGGAGACCUGGAGGGUGAUGGAGCUUAAAAACGAAGCAGAAAGGCCAAGAGGAAGAGCUUCACUGGAGGAGGGAGUCCUUACAGGAAGAGGAGAUGAGGGCACAGACACCCACAGAGGGAAGAUGGUGUGAGGACACAGGGAGAAGACGCCAUCUGCAAGCCCAGGAGGGAGGCCUCAGGAGAAACCAGUCCCACCCACAACUGGAUGUGGGGCUUCCAGCCCCCAGUGCUGCGGGGAAAUAAAGCUCCAUUGUGUAAGCUGCCCCAUCUGUGGUGUUUUAUUGUGGCAGCCCCAGGAACUAAUACCGUAUCCCUACCAAUACAUACGUAUUUACUCACAUGGAGCAACACACAUGUGCAUAUAUGUAAUAUUUUUGCCUAAAAAAAAGUAAGCCAUGCCUAAAAGUAUAGGCGGAGAGAAGGCUAAAAGAGACUGCUCGAAGAGACUGCCAAGGUACAAGAAUCCAACAAAGACACAUCAUAUCAACAGUGAUGAUUUCCUGAAUAGGAAGGCUAUUUGGAUGGCUGGUUUAUAGUUUUCAUGCCCAAGGAGUUUUCCAAGGCCCAGCGUUUACCCUUUGCAGCAGCUCACUCUCCUGAAAUGUGCUUUCAUGUAAACAGGAAGGAGAUACGGAGUACCUCUGCCUAGCACUACGUUAGAAGAAUCCUCAGGCAUUUCCAUCUCAUGCGAUGAUGAGAAAGCAGUAGUUGCUGGCAAACCUCGGCCAACUUCCAGUCUUGUCCUUUUGACAGGGGACUGCUGUCUUGAGUACCCGUCUCAGGCAUCAUAUCCACCUUGGCCCUGCCUUGGGAGCCUGUAGAUGUGGACAGAAAAGAGGGAUGCUGCCUUCCUGGCUGGGCCUUUCUUGACACACAGGCAUAUGGACCCAAGCUCUAAAGGAUGAAGACUCCAUGGUUUCUGAAGUUUUCAUUAUUCUCCGCCUCCUAAAGCUCCACCUUGCAGGCAAUGCACUGUAACAAAAGGACCAGCACAGUGCCCAGCACACAGAAAGCUAUCAAUCAAUGUCAGCCUUAACCAUUAUGUUGGUUGACUUGCCAUCCCUCUUCCUCAUCUGCAAGCUAUGUGAGAGCAAGAUUCAAGUAACCUUGGUAUUACACAAUUCCAUCGUGAUGGGUUCAGUUACAUUUGUCAAAUGAUUCAGAGUAGGACAACGGGAAUUUUCUUGACAACAUCACAGCAUUGUAAAGUCUUUGCUUUGCACGGAAGUGUGGGACUGCAGCAAUGAUUGUGCAAGUUGAAACUGUGUGAAGCGAUUUUAAGAAGUAACAAGAAAAAUUAUGAUUGUUUCGUGAUCUUCAAAAAAUUUUUAAAAUGUUAAGAACUGUUUUACUACUGGUUGUAAAUGUACAAGAACAUUUAAAAAUACCAAAACGAAUACUUAUGUAGCAUGCUACAUAAUUUAAAAAAUUAGAAACAUUGAGAAACAGUGUUUUAUUUCUUUGUGAAAGACUUAUGGAGAGUAAAUUGAACAGGGCUUUGCCACCUUCUCGUUGUAAAACUUACAGUAUGGACCAGGCAUUUUUUCUAUGCCUUGGUAAAUUGUCACAUUCCUUUCUAUAUUUGGAUAGGCUUCCUGCAUUUUGUCCUGCACACUUUCAGUGCUGUGAAAUAUCUCCAAGAUUUUCUUUAUUAUGAAGUUUUUGCCAGCAUCUUCAUCCUGAGUCCCUCUCGCUGCACAUCCAGAAUCUCUCAAAAGACAACAGCAUCAAUGUUUCCACCAUCAGCUCUUUCUUCUCUAAACUCAUUUACGUCUGAGUCAACUUUCACCUCCUGCAUUCUCACUUUUUGUUUCUUUGCUAUACUUUCAUCUUCAUUGGCUACCUCCCUCUCUUGAGUAUUCAUUUCUGUAAAAUGUCAUGUGGGUUUGUCACUGGGAGCCAAGGAGGCAGCACGAGCACACGCUUUGCUGUGUGUGAACUGAUAACACGGAAGGACUGAAGGAUGUGAUGAGGUUAAUCACUGAUCAUGAUGCACAUCUGUUAUUAUGUGGUAGUCUGUGGACUGCAGAGCAAGCAGCAGAGGUUGUCCCCCAUGCAAUCACUCACAGUUAAUGGUGACUGAAAUUGGAACCAUGUUGUGGUAGGGGACUGGUGUUAUUUAACUUCAGUUGCCAUGGGACAAUGAAAAUUCGUGCGUUUGGGACUAUGCAAGGUGAGGACUGCCUGAAUGUUCCAUAAUGUGAUGAGUGCCUCACAAACAGGGCAUAUAUUAUCAAUGAGUUUUUUCAUUAUUCUUGACCUUCAACAUAUAGACGUGCAUGUUGAUGGUAUCAGGUUGUUUCUGCGUGAAUGAGCUUUACUCCUCUGAGAAACGGCAUUCCUGGCCCUCCUCCUUGAAUCAAUUGCACAAAAGUAUCUGAAGGAAAUUUGCUUACCUGCUGCUUUCGAUGGAAGCUUUCCUGCAGCGUUACCCGGUGUCUGUUUCUGGCCGAUGAUUAACCAUGGGGAACAAGCGUUUGGGAUAAAGAAGUUGCAGAACUUUUAAGAGAAUGUAAUAUGUUCAUGUGCACUGGGACUCUCCUUGACCUAUAUCAAGUUUCCUGGAUUCUGAAAUGCUAUAAUUUUAGAAGUGUCAUAACGUUAAAACAGCUUUCUAGGAAGUGCCUUUGUUGAAAGAAUACCCAGGAAUGGUGCACUGGACAGCUUUUGGACAUGUCUUGCAUUUUCUCAGAACUAUCUCUCAUCUUGGCCAUGGCUUCAGUCACAUCCUAAGUGACUCACCUCGGCUUGGGCUGCCUCCUACUGCAGUUCUAAACUCUGGUGGGGGACACGGGCAUGACCCACCCAAGACUCAUAUGUGCUUAAGCUGGAAAUAAGGAGCAGAGGGGCCAGGGGAAGGACCCAAUGGCUAAAUGUUCCUGCUUUUUUUCCCUCAGGCAGACAGUUCUAAGGUACAUGCUGUAGGUUGCUUGGACUACCCUGGCAAGAUCUUCUCCCAGAAAUCCACCUUGGUGGCUGACUUAUUAACUCAUUGGCCUGUUGACUUUUGCUCCUUGCCUCACCCCUGCUCCCUGUGCCUUCUUUCUAAUAAGCUACCUCCUGGUAAGGCUCUGCUUUGGGGGAAACCCAGACUGAGGCAGGUGGGAUGUUGUAACCAGGGAGGCCUGAGUCCUGGGUCUUUGCCUGGGGCCCCCAAAUAGGAGAGGGAUUGGAGGUGGUAUUGUGGGGGAGAAUGGUGCAAAGCCCGAGGGAAAGGGGUGCUGUUACCACAGCAGAGGAGAUGUGAACCUGCACAGACCAAAAACAGGAGAGAGACAGGGAAAGAGAAAGAGAAGGGGGAGAAAGAGAGAAAGGGAGAGAGAGAAAGAGGAAGGGAGAGAGAGAUGGGGAAAGAGGAGAAGAGAAAGAGAGGGAGGGAGAGAAAGAAAAGAGAUGGAGAGACAGAAAAGGGUGGGGAGAGAGAUAAAGAGAGAGGGAAAGAGAGAGAGAGAACCAUCUACUAUACUACAUGAUUUCUUUUUUCUUUUCUUUUCUUUUUUUUUCUGAGGUGAAGUUUCGCUCUUGUUGCCCAGCCUGGAGUGCAGUGGCGUGAUCUCGGCUCACUGCAACCUCCACCUCCUGGGUUCAAGCGAUUCUCCUGCCUCAGCUUCCCAAGUAGCUGGGAUUACAGGUGCCUGCCACCACGCCCAGCUAAUUUUUGUAUUUUUGGUAGAGACGGGGUUUCACCAUGUUGGCCAGGCUGGUUUCGAACUCCUGACCUCAGGCGAUCGGCCCACCUUGGCCUCCCAAAGUGCUGGGAUUACAGGCGUGAGCCACCGUACCUGGCCGUAAUUUUUUUUUUUAACCUAUAAAAGCCUUGAGUAGUGAUGGAAGUGAUUCCUAGGAAUGUGGUUUACUAAAGGGUCAGGCUGGAAGUUCACCACAAAUACGCCACAGUAGUGUUUGGUACUCUCUCAAUGUUCCACCCACCAGAGCAUACAAAACAGCCACAUUCUCCAAACACUUAAUUCUCAAAACAUACUUGUAGAGGAGGGAAGCCUAUUACUCCCAUUAGAAAGAUGGAAAACCAAGGUGAAAUGGUUAACUGAGCUAGCAGGUCCUCAAAAGAAAGUCACUGCUGAGUUUGGGAUUGUGUUUUCAGCUUCCUGCCCACUGUGGGUGAGCUCCACCUUUUACUGGAACCAACUCCAAGGAGGAAGGUUUGCUGGGUUUCCUGGAAGGCAGAGGUUUGCAUCUGCACGCCCUGCGUGGAGGCAUUGUAUUUGGCGGCAGGCAGGAGAAUGCUGCAGCUGGUGUGCCCGCAGAAAGGGAGGGAGAGAAGCCACUGGGAGUGAUCUGGGCUUGGGAUCGGGUUGUGUCAUCACCAACUGUCUGCCCAGGCAUGAACUUGCCACUGCUGUGGAAGAGUCUGGCUGCGUCCAAGAAUGCCCAAGGGUGUGGCUGAAUUCACUUCUCAACAGACUUGGGUCAUGUUCAUAUACUAUUCUUUAAAAGAUCACCAUUUGUAGCAGAAUGUCAAAAACCCAAACAUGUUGCUCUCGGCAUUGAGCUGUAACUUUUUUCUGUGUUGGUGGAAAAACAUGAGAGAAUUUGUUGCCACUCAUGAAUCUCAGUGACACACAGACAAAAAGCAUGCUUCAAUUUCGUGUCUUUGUUUUUGAGUGGUUCUGAUUUAUUUUCAGCUUUUGGGUGAUGUCUGGGGCUGUUUACUGAGGACGGGAUAAAUGUGGGGGGAACCAAAAUACAUUUGGCAUUUAUUGAUGGCGUUUUACAUCUGUGACUUGAUUUACUCCUUAUCACAACCCAGUGAGACACAUACUAUUAUCAUCCUUUUGAUAGAUGAGCAGCCUGGAGCUUGGAGAGGUUAAGUAGCAUGGACAGCAUCAGGCAAGUUAAAUGAGAAAGCCGCCACCCAUUCCCAGCUGGGGCUGACCCCAGCGCCUGUGUUAUUUCUGUUGCCCUGAGCCUCCCCAGGCUUCUUAACCCACAUGCACGCCUAGCUUCCAGCACUGCUAAUUUACACUGUGUACCAGCAGGAGACAUUCUGGAGUGUAGACUGACGCAAUAAUCUCCAAUCAUAGGUUUGCCAUGUUUUUUUUAAUGUGUUUUUUCCUACUUUUUAUUAUAGAUGUCAGAAUUUUCUCCUUCCCUAAGAGUUAUCUUUGGACUUAGAUGUAUAUAAAUUUAUCUGGUUGGAGGUGGGGGGAAAAGUGGAAGUGGAAGACCACAAAAGUAAAAAUUAAAUUUGAGUGUAUUUCACCGAUUCUAAGAGGAACGCCUUCUCGUGCUCCAACCACUCUGAAAUCUCUGGGUUCCGUACUCCCAUGGCCGCUGUGUGACAUGGUUGCCAUGGCCUCUGUGCGAACAUCAAAGCUUAGAGGAUGGGUGUCAGAGGCUUAGAUGAAAAUCCCGAAGACAGUUGUGUGGCACUUUUAAAAGCAAUACGGCCUCGCCAAAACCCUUCUGGAAGCUCUUGAUGGCUCAAGGUUCAACAGUGUCUGGGAAGACACAGAUAUAAAAGAUCCAGAAUCAAAGAGUGAUUCCAAAGAGUUAGAGUCUGACUGUGAAGUUUUAGGCAUACGGUAACCCAGUGAUUUACCUAUCUUUCCUUUUCUGCACAUGCAGAAGAGUGAUGUAUGAUUAAUACAUUCUAAGUUCAAUUAGGCCUAAAAGAGCUCUUGUAAUAUGCUUUAAAAAGCCUAAAUGAUAAGAAAGCAGUGUGACAGAUAGAGUUCUGUCAGUGUUUAUCUUUUCUUAGUCCUUCAUUAAAUAACAGUGUGUCUUACACCAAGGCAGUUUUGAAUUCCAUAAAAUAUGGUAGUAGUUAUGUUUUAUGUUUCAAUAGUCAUCAAUCUGUUUCUAAUGUAUUCAUGGAAAAAUAUGCGGGCCAUCUUGCUAUUUAACUAUUUUUGAAAUCUCAUGGAAGCCUGCCAAAGUUUUUGCAAUUUAGCUAAGAAGCUGUCUUGCUUUUUGAGAGGGGAAGUUCCAAUAUUGUAAGCCUGUGUUUCUGAAUAUAUUUUUGUUUUUUGCUAAUCUGGCAUCUGUCUAGAGCAAAAGCAAAAUAAAUGAAAGGUGAGGAAAAUUAAAAGGCUUGCAUUAUAACAUGUGCUGUCUAGAGAAUAAAAACUCGUUUGUGCACAGUUGGUAUGGCUUUUAUGAAAACACUUCAGUUCAAGCACCUUGUCUGUUUGCUCCAGUGCUGGCUGACUCAUGAUGACGGAUCCGUGCUGCCUUUAUUGCUCUUGGUUUGCCCCAUGGCUUGAUUUAUUAAUAUAUUUAAAUAUAUAAUUUUAACUUUA